rnacentral:rRNA from 1 species
GAUGAACGCUGGCGGCGUGCUUAACACAUGCAAGUCGAACGAAGCACUGUUGAUAGAUUCUUCGGAUGAUAGAUACAGUGACUGAGUGGCGGACGGGUGAGUAACGCGUGGGUAACCUGCCUCAUACAGGGGGAUAACAGUUAGAAAUGACUGCUAAUACCGCAUAAGCGCACAGUACUGCAUGGUACAGUGUGAAAAACUCCGGUGGUAUGAGAUGGACCCGCGUCUGAUUAGCUAGUUGGUGGGGUAACGGCCCACCAAGGCGACGAUCAGUAGCCGACCUGAGAGGGUNACCGGCACAUUGGGACUGAGACACGGCCCAAAAUCCUAGGGAGCAGCAGUGGAG